ensembl:snRNA U6 U6 spliceosomal RNA
CGCUGCAGCAGCAGUGCACAGAUUAGACCUGGAGCAAUACAGAGAAGAUUAGCGUGGCUCCUACAAGAACAACAUGCAAAUUUGUGAAACAUUCCACAUCUGA